CUGGCUUGUCAUUACCCUGUGACAUCACCCACCUGCGCAGUGGCAUCCUCACAUCCUGUUCCAUGUCUUGACCCCGUGGAGUCACUUUAUGUGACCUCCUCGCCUGCCCACUGGCCUGGGACAUCUGCCUCUCUGCAGCCCAGUGCCCACCAGGUGGGGAGCUCGUCCGGCCCUGCUCCGCAGGCCCACGCUAGACGCUGCUCCGAGCUCGUGGACGGGCGAUUUCCAGCGCGAAGGCGCUGGUAGGAGGGGUGCGGGUCGCCUGGCGGAGCUCCGCGGUCCGAGGAGGGGGGUCGUAACUGAUGCUGGGCGGGGCGAGCUGGGAGAAGAGGGGAGUCGCGCCCAUUGGCAGGCGCAGGCGUGGGAAAGGACGCCCGCCCGGGUUCACACACCCUGUGGCGGAUGGGCCUUAAAUAGCGGGCGCCGCGCGGGUUGGGCUGGGACCCUGCAGAGGGCGCGGAGCGCUCGGUACUGGGCCGAGGAGCAGCACACCCUGCAAAGAAACCGAGCGCCGUGGGCCUGGGAUUUAACUCAGCGGCGCUGUGUCUGCCUCGCAAGCGCAAGGUCCUGAGUUCGAUCCCCGGUACCAAAAAAAGAAAGAAAGAAGGAAAAAAAGCCGAGCGCCUUGCUGCACACCCCAGACAAGUGCUGCUGCGCGGCGGAGCCCUGCAAGACUCCCUCAGCAAAGACAUAAGCGGGGCGGAAGGGAGAGUCGAAGGCCUGAGCUCGAGGAAGGUCGAGCAGGAAGGGGCGCCCAUGACGCAGUUCCACCCCCAGCGCUCCCGCCGCUCGGAACUGGCGAAGACUGACGCCCUGGAGGUGACCGUAGGACGCCUGCGCGACCUGCGCCCCCGCAGGUGACCGGCGAGGCGCGGCCGGGCGUGCUGGGAGGCAGGAGGGGCGAGGGUCUCCGCCGGGGCGUCCCCUCCAGUCCCCGCCGCUCUGCAGCCAGACUCCGCACUGACCUCGCCUUCCUGGGCAAGCGUCGCGCCGCUCCACCGGCCCUGGCCAAGCCGCUUCCUGACCGGCUGCGAGGGCGUCUGCCGUGCCACUUGGCUGCCAGCCUCCCGGCUCUGCGCGAGGCUCCCGCGGUGCCCAAGCUGGGGCUGCAGGCCGGGGCGGGCCCGGGGGGCCGUGGAUGAGCUGCGCCCGGUCCUAGAGUGCGGGCUUGGCCGACUGUACUGAGCCGGAAAACGAUUUCCGAGCAAAAAAGGUUUUUCCUGCGGCUAGCUGACCUAACUGACAAAGAGCCACCCUCAGUUCCCCAAGUGUCUGUAUCCAGUGUACUUGUCUAUCAAAUCAUGUAAAAGAAAUGUAACGUCCUCCACCAAUGAACUGAUGAUAAAUGCCUUGCUUCUGUAUCCCCACUCCCCUUCCUUAACCCAUAUAAACCCUGUUCACUGCCGGCUCCGGGCGGAUCGCUUCGUGGAGAAAUCCUGCUCAGUCCGCCGCGUAAUAAAUUUGGCCCCAGCCUCCGGUGCGUUCUCCAUUCUUCUUGGCCUGGUCUUGCUAUACACUAAGAGCUGCCACACUGUGGACUGUAAGCCUACCGUUAUAGUACCACAGUGUAUUUAACUCCAGAGGCCCGCCUUGUCUUUUUGGGGGUUUUCUUUGUGAAUAGUCUUGUUCCUAAGAGCCUGCACACUCAGUCCCAGGAAGGCUGCGAGUCUCACGCUGGCCCUACGAAACCCUUACCCUAGGCCCCGCCCCUUCCCUAGGCCCCGCCCCUCCGGGCUUUGUCCCGCCCAGCUGGGUCCGCCCUUCCCUGGCACCGCCCCUAGCCCGGGCCUGUUGAAGCUCCGCCUCGGUCCGGGAGAUCUAGAUUUCCAGGUUCACCGAUGGAACCCAGGGCCCACCUUGGGGUGGCCCUAGGGUGUGAUGUUCCAGGAGGCAGGCAGGAAGGUGACAGCCACCAAGCUUUCCAGGAUGUAUCUCAGUGGUGGAAGGUGCUUAAAGGUUCAACUCCAAAUACCAGCCCCCCAAUAAAUACCACCCCUUUCAAAUGUCCAUCACCUGAUGAAUGGAUAGAUUGUGACGUAUCCUUACAACAGGAUAUUAUUUGACAAUAAAAAGGAAUGAGAAACUGGUACAUACUGUUGUGAGACUCUAAAAGACGAGAGACUGGGCGGGGAUUUAGCGCGAGUGGUUCCACGCCAGAUUCACAGGCACAAGGUCCCGAGUUCGAUCCCCGAUACCAAAAAAUAAAUGGGGGGGCUGGGGAUUCAGCUCAGUGGUUUCACUUCCUGCUGCUCAAGCGCAAGGACCCGAGCUCGAUCCCCG
ensembl:lncRNA